rnacentral:rRNA from 1 species
CAGUAGCCGCGGUAAUACGAAGGGUGCAAGCGUUAAUCGGAAUUACUGGGCGUAGAGCGUGCGCAGGCGGUUUGUUAAGUCUGUUGUGAAAUCCCCGGGCUCAACCUGGGAAUGGCAAUGGAUACUGGCAAGCUAGAGUGUGUCAGAGGAUGGUGGAAUUCCCGGUGUAGCGGUGAAAUGCGUAGAGAUCGGGAGGAACAUCAGUGGCGAAGGCGGCCAUCUGGGACAACACUGACGCUGAGGCACGAAAGCGUGAGGAGCAAACAGGAUUAGAUACCCCCGUAGUCCCUGUCUCUUAUAC